ensembl:snRNA U1 U1 spliceosomal RNA
UUAAUUAAUUCAGGUGCAUUUGUUAAACAUGAAUAUGCCAAACCUAUAACCAGGGCGAGGCUUAUCCAUUUCACUCCAGAUGUACUGACCUCUGUGAUUUCCCCAAAUGUGGGAAAUUCUACUUCAUAAUUUAAUGGAGGACUGUGUUCUCACUUUCUCAUA